ACAACAGACAGAUGACAGACGGCUGUCUCUGAUCCCAACCUCAAGUAGGAUGUUCCUGAUGCACUGGAUCCCAGAUCCUGUAUAGCUUUAGAACCUGUGUAGUUUGUGUUUCCUUGGCUUCUCCUUUGGAUCUUUUAGGUGCUAAGGAAAUGAGAAUGGUUCACCACAAAACAGGGCAGACAAAGGGGAUAAUUAAGGGCCUCUUCCAAGCAACGUUGGUAUCAUAAAAUAAAAGUUAAAGAAUGAAAGAACUACACAAGAAGGUGCUGGGGUUGACACAAAGGACUUGAAACAGCACUACCAGGAGUUGGGUGCAGCAAUGGGGAUCCCUUCAGGUCCAUCAGCAAUUCAGAGACCUAAACGAAUAUUCCCUAUUCAUGUUGAAUUGGCAGAGUGUGAAAUCUAGAAGACAAAAUGGCCAGGAAAAUUGUGUGAUUUUUGCGUGGGUGAAGGUCUGGCAAGUUAAUCAAUUUGAGGACUGUUGAAGGCCUGAGGUGGUCCUGCCCUUGCUUGGUGCCAAGACCGUAGUCCAACUCAUGUGAAAUUGCCAGGGAAGAGAGAGUAGUUUUUUUGGUAGUUCUUGUUAUCAGGCAUAUGUGCAUUUGAAUUUUCUCUUCAUGGCCUUUCUUGGCUCUAUUUCUCAUUUUUUUUAACAUACAUACUUUCAUUUAGAUUAAUUACCUUCACAGGGUCACAGAGAAGGGUGGAAGGAAGGGAGGCCCUGGGAUGAGUCUCAAAAAAACAUGGAAAAUUGUGGAGAGGGACAAUAGCAGGGUGUAAGGAAUUAUUGAGAUCUUAUUCUGCCCCUCCCAGGAGGCACAGGCCAGUCUUUUUCUGCAUUUGAGGUUCUAGGUUAUAAGCCCUGUAGACUCUUCCCUUCAGGGCAGGGUGACAACUAUGCAAAUUCAAGUGGGGGCCUCCCCACUUAAACCAAGGGCUCCCCUUCACAGUGAGUCUCCCUCACCACCCAGCUGGGGAUCUCAGUGCUUCAUUUUCUGUCCUUCAUUUCUGUCCUCCACCAUGAUGGGGUCAACUGCCAUCCUCGCCCUCCUCCUGGCUGUUCUCCAAGGAGUCUCUGCCGAGGUGCAGCUGGUGCAGUCUGGAGCAGAGGUGAAAAGGCCCGGGGAAUCUCUGAGGAUCUCCUGUAAGACUUCUGGAUACAGCUUUACCAGCAGCUGGAUCAGCUGGGUGCGCCAGAUGCCUGGGAAAGGCCUGGAGUGGAUGGGGAGAAUCUAUCCUGGUGACUCUGAUACAGAAUACAGCCCAUCCUUCCAAGGCCAGGUCACCAUCUCAGCCGACAAGUCCAUCAGCACCACCUACCUGCAGUGGAGCAGCCUGAAGGCCUCGGACUCCGCCACGUAUUACUGUGCGAAAGACACAGUGAGAGAAACCAGCACUGAGAGCACCAAAAACCCUCCACAGCGCAGGUGCAGAGUGAGCUGCCAGAAACUCCCUCCCCAGGGACUUCUCUAUUCAUCCGGGGAGGAAACACUUUUUGUCCUCAGGAGCGAGAACCAGAGAACAAUGCGGGAGGGUUCCCAGCCCCUAAGGCAACUGGAUGGGGGACCUGACCAUGGGAGGCGGAUUCUCUGAGCGGGCUCUUGUGUGUUCUACAAGGUUGUUCAUGGUGAAUACUACAUGGUUAACAUCAAAAGCCUGCCUAACAGGCACCUCUUCAAUAUGACAGUAUUUUAAUUAGUGAAAAUUUUACACAGUUAAUCAUUGCUUGCUUGCCUUCCUCCCUCCUAUCCACUCUCACUCCCUCCUUUUAUUUUCUACUUACUUUUACAAAGUCAUUUAAUCACUUUUUGAAAUAUUAAUAGGUUCUCUUGUUUCUGUUAUUGUUUUCAUUAAUAAUAUGCCCUGAAUAAUUCAUCUUUGUGCCAAUUCAUAAGUAUUCGGUAUAACAAAGACUUCCUCCAUAAAUAGAUUUCCUGUGAGUAAUCUUGCAAAUAUUUUAGAACCUGUUUGGUUAAGGAUAAAUUAAAAUAAA